GGAUAUAGUUCAGUUGGUAGAGCGCCAGAUUGUGGAUCUGGUUGUCGUGGGUUCGAGUCCCUCUAUC
rnacentral:tRNA from 1 species